UACGAAGGGGGCUAGCGUUGCUCGGAAUCACUGGGCGUAAAGCGCACGUAGGCGGACUCUUAAGUCGGUGGUGAAAUCCUGGAGCUCAACUCCAGAACUGCCUUCGAUACUGAGAGUCUUGAGUCCGAGAGAGGUGAGUGGAACUGCGAGUGUAGAGGUGAAAUUCGUAGAUAUUCGCAAGAACACCAGUGGCGAAGGCGGCUCACUGGCCCGGUACUGACGCUGAGGUGCGAAAGCGUGGGGAGCAAACAGG
rnacentral:rRNA from 1 species